rnacentral:rRNA from 1 species
ACCCGCUGAAUUUAAGCAUAUCACUAAGCGGAGGAAAAGAAACUAACCAGGAUUCCCCUAGUAACGGCGAGUGAAGAGGGAAUAGCCCAGCACCGAAGCCUGCGGUAGUUUUACUGUUAGGCAAUGUGGUGUUUGGGUCGGCUCGUGGGAUUGCCACUCCAUUCGAAGUCCAGCAUUGAGUAUGGUUUCCUGGAUUUGGCCCAGAGAGGGUGAAAGGCCCGUGCGAAUGGAGGUUCAGACAAGUGAGGCAGUUCACCAGGCCGGCCUUCGAGUCGGGUUGUUUGGGAAUGCAGCCCAAAGUGGGUGGUAAACUCCAUCCAAGGCUAAAUACGAGCACGAAUCCGAUAGCGAACAAGUACCGUGAGGGAAAGUUGAAAAGUACUUUGAAAAGAGAGUAAACAGCACGUGAAACCGCAUAGAGGUAAACGGGUGGCGUCAAGCUGCAAGCCCGAAGGAUUCAGUCGGCAAGGAUGUUGUGAUGCGCCAAUGGCAUCUAUCAGUCGGAAUAAGCAUCAAUAGUCCACUGGUUAAUGGUGGGCCCGACUUCGGUUGGGAUUUGUGUACCGGUUGGAUGCCGGAGCUUGCUAUUGGUCUGUUGGACUGCCUUGUCGGUGCACUUCCUUCGUGGUGAACACCACGACCGAUGGUAUUGCCAGUCUGUCAUAGCCGAGUCGUAUGUGAGCAGUCCUUGUGGCUGGUUGUGUGCGAUCACAGGCAAAUUUGGUGCACGGCGUAAGUUGGCUCUCGGGUUAAUUUGCGUGUUAUCGUUCACUAGUUGUCAACGGGCCGGGCGGUGAUUGUUGUAUUCGUCGCAGUUCGGUCUGGUGGGCUAUGGUGGUAAGAAUAACUGUGCAAGGCAUCGGAGUUCUCGGUCUCAAAUGCAGUCUGCAUCCACAAUACAAGUGGUCAAUGGGGCAGCGUUGCAGCCUGCCUAUUCUUGGGUCUGAUUGUCGUGUUGCCUGCGCAAAGUGGGCCCGGCGGUGGCUUGAGGUAGGACGGAGUUGUGGGCGUUGUCUUGUGUGCAGAUUGUGGUGGGCCUUAAAGUCUGUGGUGUAGUGGUAGACCAGCCACCCGACCCGUCUUGAAACACGGACCAAGGAGUUUAAUAUGUAUGCAAGUCAAGGGGUCUUACGAAACCCAAAGGCGCAGUGAAAGUGAAGCUUCGACUCGUCUCGGAGUGAGGUGAGAUCCUGUCGUUUCUCGCAUAUGUCAGCACUUGGCAAAGAGCGGCGGGCGCAUCACCGGCCCGUCCCAUGAUGUGGUCAUUGGAUGUCUGCAUUGGUUGCUUGCAGCCAGUGUAGUGCCAGUGCGUCAUCGGGGCGGAGCAUGAGCAUACAUAUUGAGACCCGAAAGAUGGUGAACUAUGC